rnacentral:rRNA from 1 species
GAUUAACGCUAGCGGCAGGCCUAAUACAUGCAAGUCGAACGGCAGCGGGUGUAGCAAUACAUGCCGGCGAGUGGCGCACGGGUGCGUAACGCGUAUGCAAUCUACCUAUAACUGGGGAAUAGCCUUCCGAAAGGAAGAUUAAAACCGCAUAAUAUCACGAAGCGGCAUCGUUUUGUGAUCAAAACUCCGGUGGUUAUAGAUGAGCAUGCGUGACAUAGCUAGUUGGUGAGGUAACGGCUCACCAAGGCGACGAUGUCUAGGGGGUCUGAGAGGAUGACUCCCCCACACUGGUACUGAGACACGGACCAGACUCCUACGGGAGGCAGCAGUAAGGAAUAUU